UAAAAGAUUGUGUUAAUGGUUGCUGAUUAUCCUGAAAUGAACGACAGAACUUACAUGGUAGUAAAUUCAUGACAAGUACAGUAGUAAUAAUUCUAAAGUAGGCUGAGGUCUGUAAAAACUCGGCUGAGAGUACUAAUACUAGUACAAAGUUAACAGCUCUACAUUUUUUUGUUUUUAUUUACUGAUUGUUUUAUGUUGUU